GACGAACGCUGGCGGCGUGCCUAAUACAUGCGAGUCGAACGAGAGCGACCGGUGCUUGCACUGGUCAAUCUAGUGGCGAACGGGUGAGUAACACGUGGGUAACCUGCCCAUCAGAGGGGGAUAACAUUCGGAAACGGAUGCUAAAACCGCAUAGGUCUUCGAACCGCAUGGUUUGAAGAGGAAAAGAGGCGCAAGCUUCUGCUGAUGGAUGGACCCGCGGUGCAUUAGCUAGUUGGUGAGGUAACGGCUCACCAAGGCCGUGAUGCAUAGCCGACCUGAGAGGGUGAUCGGCCACAUUGGGACUGAGACACGGCCCAAACUCCUACGGGAGGCAGCAGUAGGGAAUCUUCCGCAAUGGACGCAAGUCUGACGGAGCAACGCCGCGUGAGUGAAGAAGGUUUUCGGAUCGUAAAACUCUGUUGUUAGAGAAGAAGAAGUGCUAGAGUAACUGUUAGCGCCUUGACGGUAUCUAACCAGAAAGCCACGGCUAACUACGUG
rnacentral:rRNA from 1 species